rnacentral:rRNA from 1 species
UACGGGGGGGGUAAGCGUUGUUCGGAAUUACUGGGCGUAAAGGGCUCGUAGGCGGCCAACUAAGUCAGACGUGAAAUCCCUCGGCUUAACCGGGGAACUGCAUCUGAUACUGGAUGGCUUGAGUUCGGGAGAGGGAUGCGGAAUUCCAGGUGUAGCGGUGAAAUGCGUAGAUAUCAGGAGGAAUACCGGUGGCGAAAGCGACUCUCUGGACGGCAACUGACGCUGAGGCACGAAAGCGUGGGGAGCAAACAGG